AAAAAAAAUUACCUCUUGGAUUUCGGAUUUUGAGAAGAUGGGGUUUUUCUAGCAACUAAGUACUUUUCCAUGGGGAUGAAUUUUAACUAAGAGAGUCUCUUUCCGGGACUUCUUCUUCUUCUGGAGCAAAACAGAUCACUGAGCAACUGUAAAUUUUCCCGCCAUCCUCAGCAUUUUGUCUAUCAGGUUUUUAUAUGAAUUUGAACCCCUGCCGAAAGGGAGAAAUUGAAAAUGGGUCACAUCGCAUCUGAUGAGGGUGAAGAAAAAGAGAGUUUCAUGUUCGAGGCACAGUGGCUAAGGGAUAAUGAAUGUCCAGACAUCAUUCAUGCAGCGUGGGAUGAAGGCAGUGACAUUCUCAUUAGGCAGAGCUAAGUGUGGCGGCGAUACGAAUAUCGGGACAGCGUACCAAUCGAAUUGAUUUUGGCGUCAUAGUUUUACAGCAGUUGAGAAUCUGCGUAUCUUUUGGAGUUGAGCUUUGAUUUUGGAGUCAGAGCCACACGACAGAGUUCGUUAGUAUGACUCUCUUCAUAGAACAUGUAGUUAGUGUUUUGGGAUGCAUGUUCAUGUCUAGAUGUGAUUUUGCAUCACUUGUAGAUA